CAAUAGCGUAUAUUAAAGUUGUUGCAGUUAAAAAGCUCGUAGUUGGAUUUCUGGUGGGAGCGAUCGGUCUGGCGCUUAGCGCGAGUACUUGCAUCGUCUCCGGCCAUCCUUGGGGAGAGUCUGUCUGGCAUUAGGUUGUCGGGCAGAGGAUCCUCAUCGUUUACUGUGAAAAAAUUAGAGUGUUCAAAGCAGGCUUAUGCCGUUGAAUAUAUUAGCAUGGAAUAAUAAGAUAGGACUUUGGUACUAUUUUGUUGGUUUGCGCACCAAAGUAAUGAUUAAUAGGGACUGUUGGGGGUAUUCGUAUUCCGUUGUCAGAGGUGAAAUUCUUGGAUUUACGGAAGACGAACUACUGCGAAAGCAUUUACCAAGGAUGUUUUCAUUAA
rnacentral:rRNA from 1 species